UGGUUCUGGCAUCGAUGAAGAACGCAGCGAAAUGCGAUAAGUAAUGUGAAUUGCAGAAUUUAGUGAAUCAUCGAAUCUUUGAACGCACAUUGCGCCCUCUGGUAUUCCGGGGGGCAUGCCUGUUCGAGCGUCAUUACAACCCUCAAGCCUAGCUUGGUAAUGGGCCUUCGUCCCCUGGACGGGCCUGAAAAUUAGUGGCAAUACUCUCCAGCUUCAAGCGUAGUAAAUCUAUCUUUGUCUUGAUGGUUGGCUGGUGUGUUGGCCAAGUAAACCCAUUUUUUUUUUCAGUUGACCUCGAAUCAGGUAGGGAUACCCGCUGA
rnacentral:misc_RNA from 1 species